rnacentral:tRNA from 1 species
GACCCGUUAGCUCAGCUGGUAGAGCAAUUCCCUUUUAAGGAAUGGGCCGUUGGUUCAAGUCCAACACGGGUCACCA